AGUGAACGCUGGCGGUAGGCCUAACACAUGCAAGUCGAACGGCGGCACAGUAAGAGCUUGCUCUUACGGGUGGCGAGUGGCGGACGGGUGAGGAAUACAUCGGAAUCUACUUUUUCGUGGGGGAUAACGUAGGGAAACUUACGCUAAUACCGCAUACGACCUACGGGUGAAAGCAGGGGAUCUUCGGACCUUGCGCGAUUGAAUGAGCCGAUGUCGGAUUAGCUAGUUGGCGGGGUAAAGGCCCACCAAGGCGACGAUCCGUAGCUGGUCUGAGAGGAUGAUCAGCCACACUGGAACUGAGACACGGUCCAGACUCCUACGGGAGGCAGCAGUGGGGAAUAUUGGACAAUGGGCGCAAGCCUGAUCCAGCCAUACCGCGUGGGUGAAGAAGGCCUUCGGGUUGUAAGGCCCUUUUGUUGGGAAAGAAAAGCAGCAGGUUAAUACCCCGCUGUUCUGACGGUACCCAAAGAAUAAGCACCGGCUAACUUCGUG
rnacentral:rRNA from 1 species